GUGCCAGCAGCCGCGGUAAAACGUAGGACACAAGCGUUAUCCGGAGUUACUGGGCGUAAAGGGCGUUUAGGCGGGUGAUUAAGUUCGCUAUGAAAGCGCCAGGCUAAACCUGGCGAGGCUGGCGGAUACUGGUCAUCUGGAGUGAGGGAGAGGGAAGUAGAAUUCCGCGUGUAGUGGUGAAAUGCGUAGAGAUGCGGAGGAAUACCAGUGGCGAAGGCGACUUCCUGGCCCUCAACUGACGCUGAAGCGCGAAAGCAUGGGGAGCGAACGGGAUUAGAAACCCCGGUAGUCC
rnacentral:rRNA from 1 species